rnacentral:rRNA from 2 species
GGCGGCAGGCCUAACACAUGCAAGUCGAACGGUAACAGGAAGCAGCUUGCUGCUUCGCUGACGAGUGGCGGACGGGUGAGUAAUGUCUGGGAAACUGCCUGAUGGAGGGGGAUAACUACUGGAAACGGUGGCUAAUACCGCAUAACGUCGCAAGACCAAAGAGGGGGACCUUCGGGCCUCUUGCCAUCAGAUGUGCCCAGAUGGGAUUAGCUUGUUGGUGAGGUAACGGCUCACCAAGGCGACGAUCCCUAGCUGGUCUGAGAGGAUGACCAGCCACACUGGAACUGAGACACGGUCCAGACUCCUACGGGAGGCAGCAGUGGGGAAUAUUGCACAAUGGGCGCAAGCCUGAUGCAGCCAUGCCGCGUGUAUGAAGAAGGCCUUCGGGUUGUAAAGUACUU